GAUCAUGACUCAGGACGAACGCUGGCGGCGUGCCUAACACAUGCAAGUCGAGCGGAGACAGGGAGUAGCUUGCUAUGAACUGUUUUAGCGGCGGACGGGUGAGUAACGCGUGAGCAACCUUUCCCAGACAGGGGAAUAACACACCGAAAGGUGUACUAAUACCGCAUAAGACCACGGUUUCACAUGGAACUGAGGUAAAAGAUUUAUCGGUUUGGUGUGGGCUCGCGUCCGAUUAGGUAGUUGGUGAGGUAACCGG
rnacentral:rRNA from 1 species